rnacentral:lncRNA from 1 species
UUCAACUAGAUCUAAUUGGAGAGAAGGAAGAUUUUCUUCAACCCGCUUAAUUCGAAUCCCUCAAAAGAUGACUAGAAAAAAAUAUAAUAAUUACGAAAGUAGGGCUUAAGUCCUCUUUUCUUUUAUUGAUGAUUAAAAAAUAAGGUACAGAGCUUCUAUUUAUAAUGGUGAGGUCCGUUCUUACAUAAUUUGUGUCGGAUUCUUCUUUCUAAUCUUAGUAGGACUCUCUUUCCUAAAAUAGACAUUACUAAUAAAAAUCUUCCCAAAAAAGUUCAAAUUUUUGAGGAGAUAGAUCUUAAUUUCUACAUCAACUCUACCUUUUGUCGCUAUAUCAGAUUCUUCUCGGAUAUGGAGUUACACCCGGUCAAAGUUUUACUCAAAAAAGAAAAUUUUUGAUUUGACUAGCCCAUUUUAGGCCCCAAAUAAUAGAAUUUGAGCUCGUAGAUUUCGAAAAACUGCUCGAUUUUUUUUAAAAAAAUAUUCUUAAUUGGACGUCGUAUGACUAAGUUGUGACAUUCAAAAGUUUGACAUAUGACUCGGCUUUUUGAUGUGGCAGAUCUUGUUUCUGGAUACUAUCCAGUCUUGCUCGUAGUAGCUAAAGUGGUGCACAUUAAUCGAGAGAUUCUUCUGGAGCAUAAUCAUCCGAGAUGAGACUAUUA